AAUGAUUAAUUUGUGAUUAUUUUUCUUGGAACAAAAUGUACCGUAGAACAAUUACAUUCUGAACUGAAGAGUAACCAAUAUUGACACUUUCUAGCAAUGAACAUUGUCAACAUUUGGCAUGGAAUGGAAACAGGUUUUGAGCCAGCAUCCCAUAUACUCUACCAACGAAAAUUCUUUUGGCCCAAACAAAACGAUCUGCAGAUGCCACAUAGACUACAGCUAAUAUUAGUUAUUAGUUAGUGAGAAAACUGCUGUAUAUAUUCUAAACAACAAUAACAAAUAUCAGUUGCAGAAUUAGAGACACAGGGGAAAAAAUAUGCUUACAUGUACUGUACACCUCAGACGAUCAGGUUCAACAUGACAUUGAUAAAUGUCUGCACAUUUGUGGUCUUAGUGUCAAUGCAUGAAUCAUCCAGCAAUUAUGUAUUUCUUUUCCAGGGAGAAAAGAAGACCCUGUUAAAAAUGCUCCAGGAAGAGAUGAACUUUCAUAGAAGGUUUAAAGUGGUCUUUGAUAGGUCAGCAGACCACCUUGAGGUGUUGGACACAGAGGAAGAGAUCACGGAGGAAUUUGAGAAGCUUCGUCAGUUUCUAAGAGAUGAAGAGGCAGCCUGGAGAGCUGCCCAGGAGGAGGAAGAGGAGCAGCAGACUCGAAAGAGGAAGAGGGCAUCUGGCAACACUGAACGACAGUGUUCAUCUCGUCCAAGUGCUAUAGCAGUCAGAUGAAGCAGCAUGGCACGUGACAUCCCUGACUCUGAUGAAGACAUGGCAAUUCGUCCUUGGCACGUAAUGACUUAAUGAAGAUUUCCCACUUGAGCUACUACGCAAAUGUAUCUUUUUUUUAUCUUGACUCGGCCUGCAUGCAGCUUUGGUUAUUUACUGUACAUUAUUGUACUGUACAUAUUGUUUCUGUACAUUUUACCAAUGAAUUUGACUGAAGUAUCCUUGGUUUGUAUCUGUUUUAACAGGAUGCAUUUGUUGACCUGUGUGCCUAUUUUACUCAUGCAUUUCUUAAUCCAAAUAAAUAGGUUUGAUAUUAGUGAUUGGAAAUGUGUGUUUUCAGCAGAAUGAGACUUGUACAGUGGGACAGAUAUGAACACACACAGUCACAGACAUAAAUACAUGCAGGCCUACCGUAUACUCUCACGACCACAUCUGGCUUGUGCUGUGUUGGAUCCUCUUUUGUCUUCAGAACUUCCCUCUUGAUUAUACCCCAUAGAUUACCAUAACACGUUUUGGGGCUUUGGUGUUACAGUAUGAGCAUUCUAACUCACCAGACACAACAUCCCAUUCAUUUUCAAAGGGGUUUUAUUUCUGGUGAGUUAGAAUGUCCAUAACACCAAAGCACCAUGAUAAUGGUAAUCUAUGGGGUAUAUUGAAGAGUGAAGUGUGGGUCACCAGAUCUACAAACAAAAACAGCUGACGGCAAGGCAUCAAGGAUAUCUGGGCUUCCAUAACCCAGCCAUUGACUAACCGCAUCAUGGCACUGAUUAAGGCAACUGGUCAAUCUACACAGAAGAGCGGAGGGGGGGGGCUUUAUUUGAGUCAAUUCGGAUGUAAUGAUAGUUGCAUGCAAUUUAAUUUUGUAUUUUUGUGUCACACAUCGUUUGUUUUUUAAAAUUUGAUUAUUGUUAUUUUCUUUACGAUUCACAUGACGUGUAUAUUUUGUUCCGCACGGCUUACGUGGCGAACACCCUGCCUACAUCCUCUGUAAAGAUGCUGAAGAAGGUUUAGUCCGAAACGUUUAAACUAUUAAAUUUAAACUACAAGAA